rnacentral:tRNA from 1 species
CUGGAUAGGAGGGCCUCGAUCCCACAA